UCCCUCAUAGCUCAGUCAGUAAAGAAUCUGCCUGCAAUGCAGGAAACCUGGGUUCGAUUCCUGGGUUGGGAA
rnacentral:tRNA from 1 species